rnacentral:rRNA from 1 species
UACGGAGGGUGCAAGCGUUAAUCGGAAUUACUGGGCGUAAAGCGCACGCAGGUGGCUGAGUCAGUCGAUUGUGAAAGCCCUGGGCUUAACCUGGGAAUUGCAGUCGAUACUACUCAGCUAGAGUAUGGGAGAGGGUAGUGGAAUUCCCGGUGUAGCGGUGAAAUGCGUAGAUAUCGGGAGGAACAUCAGUGGCGAAGGCGGCUACCUGGCCCAAUACUGACACUCAGGCGCGACAGCGUGGGGAGCAAACAGG